rnacentral:rRNA from 1 species
GGCUGAGAGAUCAGCUGUUCCCUUCGGGGACAGAAUGACAGGUGGUGCAUGGUUGUCGUCAGCUCGUGUCGUGAGAUGUUGGGUUAAGUCCCGCAACGAGCGCAACCCUUAUGAUCAGUUACCAGCAUUCAGUUGGGUACUCUGGUCAGACUGCCGGUGACAAACCGGAGGAAGGCGGGGAUGACGUCAAAUCAUCAUGCCCCUUAUGACCUGGGCUACACACGUGCUACAAUGGGUGGUACAACGAGCAACGAGACCGCGAGGUCAAGCGAAUCUCUAAAAACCAUCCUCAGUUCGGAUUGCAAGCUGCAACUCCCCUGCUUGAAACUGGAAUCCCUAAUUAAUCGCGGUUCACACAAUACCUAUUGAAUAUAUUCACUGG